rnacentral:rRNA from 1 species
AACGAACGCUGGCGGCGUGCCUAACACAUGCAAGUCGAGCGAGAAAGUUCCUUCGGGAGCGAGUAAAGCGGCGCACGGGUGAGUAACACGUAGGUAACCUGCCCCCCAGUCUGGAACAACUAGAGGAAACUCUAGCUAAUGCCGGAUGAGACCACGACCCCCUCGGGGGUUGCGGCCAAAGAUGGCCUCUACUUGUAAGCUAUCGCUGAGGGAUGGGCCUGCGGGCCAUUAGCUUGUUGGUGAGGUAACGGCUCACCAAGGCUGUGAUGGCUAGCUGGUCUGAGAGGAUGACCAGCCACACUGGGACUGAGACACGGCCCAGACUCCGACGGGAGGUAGCAGUGGGGAAUAUUGCGCAAUGGGCGAAAGCCUGACGCAGCGACGCCGCGUGGGUGAUGAAGGCCUUCGGGUCGUAAAGCCCUGUCGCAGGGGAAGAAUAAGCACCAGGAUAAUACCUUGGUGCCCUGACGGUACCCUGCAAGAAAGCACCGGCUAACUCCGUGCCAGCCGCCGCAGUAAUAC